rnacentral:rRNA from 1 species
AUUGAACGCUGGCGGCAGGCCUACACAUGCAAGUCGAGCGGUAGAGAGAAGCUUGCUUCUCUUGAGAGCGGCGGACGGGUGAGUAAUGCCUAGGAAUCUGCCUGGUAGUGGGGGAUAACGUUCGGAAACGAACGCUAAUACCGCAUACGUCCUACGGGAGAAAGCAGGGGACCUUCGGGCCUUGCGCUAUCAGAUGAGCCUAGGUCGGAUUAGCUAGUUGGUGAGGUAAUGGCUCACCAAGGCGACGAUCCGUAACUGGUCUGAGAGGAUGAUCAGUCACACUGGAACUGAGACACGGUCCAGACUCCUACGGGAGGCAGCAGUGGGAAUAUUGGACAAUGGGCGAAAGCCUGAUCCAGCCAUGCCGCGUGUGUGAAGAAGGUCUUCGGAUUGUAAAGCACUUUAAGUUGGGAGGAAGGGCAGUUACCUAAUACGUGAUUGUUUUGACGUUACCGACAGAAUAAGCACCGGCUAACUCUGUGCCAGCAGCCGCGGUAAUACAGAGGGUGCAAGCGUUAAUCGGAAUUACUGGGCGUAAAGCGCGCGUAGGUGGUUUGUUAAGUUGGAUGUGAAAUCCCCGGGCUCAACCUGGGAACUGCAUUCAAAACUGACUGACUAGAGUAUGGUAGAGGGUGGUGGAAUUUCCUGUGUAGCGGUGAAAUGCGUAGAUAUAGGAAGGAACACCAGUGGCGAAGGCGACCACCUGGACUAAUACUGACACUGAGGUGCGAAAGCGUGGGGAGCAAACAGG